rnacentral:tRNA from 1 species
GAUUUGGUAGUCAAUAAUGAUUUUAAAUUGCAAGUUUGAAGGUAAAGUCAAUUUCCGAAUCU